rnacentral:rRNA from 1 species
AUUCCAGCUCCAAUAGCGUAUAUUAAAGUUGUUGCAGUUAAAAAGCUCGUAGUUGGAUUUCUGAUCUGAGCGUCCGGUCCGCCGCUGUGCGGUGUGUACUUGGUUCGACUCGGAUCUUCCUUGCAGGGAAUGUGUCUGGCCUUAAUUGGUCGGGUUCGGGAACUGCAUCGUUUACUGUGAAAAAAUUAGAGUGUUUAAAGCAGGCAUUUGCUGUGAAUACAUUAGCAUGGAAUAAUAAGAUAGGACUUUGGUUCUAUUUUGUUGGUUGGAGGCCAAGGUAAUGAUUAAUAGGGAUAGUUGGGGGUAUUCAUAUUUAAUUGUCAGAGGUGAAAUUCUUGGAUUUAUGAAAGAUGAACUUAUGCGAAAGCAUUUACCAAGGAUGUUUUCAUUA